rnacentral:rRNA from 1 species
UACGUAGGGUGCAAGCGUUAAUCGGAAUUACUGGGCGUAAAGCGUGCGCAGGCGGCUAUGCAAGACAGAUGUGAAAUCCCCGGGCUCAACCUGGGAACUGCAUUUGUGACUGCAUGGCUAGAGUACGGUAGAGGGGGGAUGGAAUUCCGCGUGUAGCAGUGAAAUGCGUAGAUAUGCGGAGGAACACCGAUGGCGAAGGCAAUCCCCUGGACCUGUACUGACGCUCAUGCACGAAGGCGUGGGGAGCAAACAGG